rnacentral:rRNA from 1 species
UCCACGCCGUAAACGAUGAUUACUCGUUGCAUGCAAUACACCGUAUGUGACUUAGCGAAAGCAUUAAGUAAUCCACCUGGGGAGUACGUUCGCAAGAAUGAAACUCAAAGGAAUUGACGGGGGCCCGCACAAGCGGAGGAACAUGUGGUUUAAUUCGAUGAUACGCGAGGAACCUUACCUGGACUUAAAUGUAGCGUGACCGUACUCGAAAGGGUUAUUUCUCUUCGGAGCAG